CUGGGCCUCUGCAAUGGCCAUCCACAAAUGAAGACAAAUAAAACAGGUGAGAUCUCUCUUGAAGAAUGGCCACUAACACAGGAACAACAGGUCAGCACAUGCUAAAGUGCAUUUCAAUGAUAAUAAGUGGUCAGUGAUGGUCACGGAAUCCAGCCCCGGCAUUGCUGUGCCCUUUGCACUUUGAAGGCCGAUGUUUGCCGGAAGCCAAUUCCAGCAUGUCAUAAUUGCAAGAGUUUCAUUGAAAGGUUGAUGGAACUUGGGGACUCAACAAGGGCCCCUUCUCCAGGUUUCUAGAACCCUUCUAGAUGCCAGAUCAAGACCACCAGCAUUAAAUUUUGUCUGCGACCUGGGCUCCAUCAGCCUGUGAAGGGUGUGGAGCCCCAGAGUCCUUGGUCCUGUCUUCAUCGCGUCAGAGACAGAGAUGACAUCAUGGCAGAUCAGCUGGUCACGGGUUCCUGGGAAA